rnacentral:lncRNA from 10 species
UGUCACAGUGUGUAGUAAAGAAUUUAUCUUUGACCAAAGAGAGACCUGACCUUUGCCCUCAGCUUCUGGAGGGUCACUGCUAAGCCCUUGGGAGGCCAUGCCUGAUAAGAGUAUCUGUUGGCAUGAGGGCCUUGGGACAGCCAGAUAGGACAAAAAAAAAGUGAGCCUUUGGAUUCUUUUAGGACAUUUUGGAGGGGAAAAAAAUGUGGAACAUGGUGAGUUUCAGGUGGACGGGUAGGACCGAGGAGGAGGGAGUGUCAGGAAGCUGAUGCCGAGUCUUAGGAGCCAAGAGGGAACGACUGACUUAAAUUAAGGUUAACCUCAAAUGCUCCAGGAAAGUCAGUGGAUUUGCAACUAGAACAUCUCUGAUGUGGCCGAGAAGGCAGGUUAGUUACAGUGCAGGCCACGGUGCAUUGCCCAGGAAGUCCAGGUCACUUUCUGACAUCUCCCUUUGAUCUCACUACCCUACGAGGUAGAACUAUUACCGACUCUGUUCUGCAGAUGAGGACAGUGAUGCUCAGAGAGGUCGAGUGACUUGUCCAAGACCAUGACCAGGGGAGGGUGGAACUAGAACUUGAACUCACAUCUCCUAUGGACAAACCCCACUUUGCUUUCCAGUAAACCACUCCUGUAGAGAUGUGCCCACAUUGUGGGACUGAGGAGCAGAGAGGGAGCCAAAGGACCCCAGAUGAGAGGAGAAGAGAGGGAGAAACAGGCGUGGACGGUGCUGUCUGCAAACUCAACAACUGAAUGAAGGUGAAGGCAAAGGAUGGAGCAGGUGGUCUUGCAGAAGAGACCUACUCCUGUGUGAGCGACGAGGACACAAUGCAUUGUGUCACCUGCUGCUAAGGAGAGACAUUUAGCUGUCCUUCCUCCCUCUUAUAAUUGGAGAGUCAGCAGUCCCAAGUGGUACCCAGCUCCCAAGAUACAGUAGAGGCAAGAGGUGCAGGGCACAGGCUUGAGAGUCAGAAGAACCUUGCCCUCAGCCUGGCUUUGUCACUUCCGAGCUUUAUUGUCCUUGUCUGCGAGAUGGGAAUAGCACUGACGAGCUCAUAGUCACCUGAUCCAUGCUCAGUUGCUUUAGCUAUUCGUGUUAUUACAGCUAUCCGUAAACCAUAGGAGAUAAUACCUGCACGAAUCAUGGUUUAUAUUUAUCAAGCACUUUUCAGGUCAGAUACUUCGUUGUUAAAGUGUGUACAGGUUCCCACUCCAGUUCAGGAACUAUUUUCGUUAGAUUAUGCCACUUCAUUGGAAGAAACAGCUGGUGGAAAGGAAGAAAUUGAAGAUGCUGGAACGUAAGGGCUGGCUGAGGGGCAGAGGCAGUUGGAGGCCGAGUGGGAUCAGAGCCAGCCAGGAUCUGCUCAGCUGGGAUGCAGAGAAGGGUGGGGGAGGUGUCGUGGAUGUAGAGACUGAGGCCACAAUCCCUCGGCCUCAGGCGUUUAUCGGGAGCUUCCUGCGCCACAGUGACCAGCAUUCUGGUUGCACCAGCAGGUGAAAGUGGACUUUUUUCUGAAAGUUACCAUUUAUUAGCUUCAUCCUGCCCAGUACUUCACACCUUAUUUCCUCAUGGCAACACCUCGGAGGCAGGUUAUAAUUGACCCGUUCUCACUACCCGGAGGCCGCAUGGACACUGGCUCUCCCUGCCUGGUCAGGCAGCCGCCCGUCAAUCCUCCCUCACCCAACGGGAUAAGCGAUCAUGGUUUUUCUUUUUCUGAACUUUCUCUGACAGAGUUCCUUGUAGAGUUUGUUUAUUUGUUUGUUUGUUUGUUGUUCUUGAGAUGAAGCCUGGCUCUGUUGCCCAGGCUGGAGGGCAGUGGUGCGAUCUCGGCUCACUUUAACCUCUGCCUCCCAGGUUCAACUGAUUCUCCCGCCUCAGCCUCCCGAGUAGCUGGGACUACAGGUGUGCACCACCAAGGUCUGUCCUGAGAAAUGGCCCUGGCAGGGAGGGGCCUCAGCGCCCACCCAGCUGCAGCAGGCCCCGUGGAGGGCGCUUCCUGCCCCUUCGCCUCCCGCUGCGGCGUCCAUGGGCUUGUGGUUGCCUCGGCCCCAAUCUGGACUCCGAGUUGCUCAACCGGCCAUGCUUUUCCUGUUCCCCUUUUCCCAGGCGGGUGCAGCUCCUGCCGGUGUGGUCCCGGCCUCUGUGGGCUCACCGCAGGGAAGCACAGCCCCUGCACGGUGGCCCCCGGGGCUGUUUCCACGUCUCUGAUUGCUUUUUCCCUGCCUGGGUUGCUAAACAGUUGAUGAAAAAAACCCUUUCAUUUGCUUUUUUAUUUUGAGGAAGGAGCCCAGUUUGUCUGUCUGGGAAGACGUUAAAAUGGUCCUAAGGACAAGCCCCCAGCAGACCCAAGAGCCACUGGAAGCACCUCUCCUCCCUGUCCCUGGGUGAUGGUGCCCAAGCGUGCCCGGAGGCUGCGCAGUCAUAAUUGCUGGUGUUUACAGAGACUUCCUGUUCACUCAAGGAGAGAGUGCCAUCCCAUCCCACCCUCCCGGGAGUCCUCCAAAGGGGUGCCGCUGUGACGCUGGGUGUGCUGGCAAGAUAACUGUGUUGAGCUCAGGGAGGCGGAUGGAACCACUUCC